CCCUUAGAUGUCCUGGGCCGCACGCGCGCUACACUGAUGCAUUCAACGAGUAUUUCCUUGGCCGAGAGGCCUGGGCAAUCUUUUAAACCUGCAUCGUGAUAGGGAUAGAUUAUUGCAAUUAUUAAUCUUGAACGAGGAAUUCCUAGUAAACGCAAAUCAUCAAUUUGCAUUGAUUACGUCCCUGCCCUUUGUACACACCGCCCGUCGCUCCUACCGAUUGGGUGUGCUGGUGAAAUGUUCGGAUCGGCCGUUUGUCGCGGUUUCCGCGUCAUGUGGCUGAGAAGUUCAUUAAACCCUCCCACCUAGAGGAAGGAGAAGUCGUAACA
rnacentral:rRNA from 1 species